AUACGUAGGGUGCGAGCGUUGUCCGGAAUUACUGGGCGUAAAGAGCUCGUAGGUGGUUUGUCGCGUCGUCUGUGGAAUUCCGGGGCUUAACUCCGGGCGUGCAGGCGAUACGGGCAUAACUUGAGUACUGUAGGGGAGACUGGAAUUCCUGGUGUAGCGGUGAAAUGCGCAGAUAUCAGGAGGAACACCGGUGGCGAAGGCGGGUCUCUGGGCAGUAACUGACGCUGAGGCGCGAAAGCAUGGGUAGCGAACAGGAUUAGAUACCCUGGUAGUCCAUGCCGUAAACGGUGGGCGCUAGGUGUAGGGGUCUUCCACGACUUCUGUGCCGUAGCUAACGCAUUAAGCGCCCCGCCUGGGGAGUACGGCCGCAAGGCUAAAACUCAAAUGAAUUGACGGGG
rnacentral:rRNA from 1 species